AGCUUUGCGCAGUGGCAGUAUCGUAGCCAAUGAGGUUUAUCCGAGGCGUGAUUAUUGCUAAUUGAAACUUUUCCUAAAAAUCAGUAAACUUAAAGAUACAGCAACAGAAAUUUUUACCUAACCUGAUUAAUAUUGAUCCACAGGU